rnacentral:rRNA from 1 species
AUUGAACGCUGGCGGCAUGCUUUACACAUGCAAGUCGAACAGUAACAGGUUAAGCUGACGAGUGGCGAACGGGUGAGUAAUGCAUCGGAACGUGCCCGAUCGUGGGGGAUAACGCAGCGAAAGCUGCGCUAAUACCGCAUACGAUCUGAGGAUGAAAGCGGGGGACCGUAAGGCCUCGCGCGAUCGGAGCGGCCGAUGUCAGAUUAGGUAGUUGGUGGGGUAAAGGCUCACCAAGCCAACGAUCUGUAGCUGGUCUGAGAGGACGACCAGCCACACUGGGACUGAGACACGGCCCAGACUCCUACGGGAGGCAGCAGUGGGGAAUUUUGGACAAUGGGCGAAAGCCUGAUCCAGCAAUGCCGCGUGCAGGAAGAAGGCCUUCGGGUUGUAAACUGCUUUUGUACGGAGUGAAAAGGCUCUCUCUAAUACAGGGGGCUCAUGACGGUACCGUAAGAAUAAGCACCGGCUAACUACGUGCCAGCCGCCGCAGUAA